rnacentral:rRNA from 1 species
AUGAAUUGUCAACACGAGUUGUUGCUGGCCCUCAAACGGGGGCAUGUGCACACUCUGUUUUCAUCCACUCACACCUGUGCACCCCUGCGGUUCUAUGGUCUGGGAGACCCCGUCUUCCUUCUGUGGUUCUGCAUCUUUACACACACACUGUAACCUGGUCUUAUGGAAUGUAUGCAGCGUUUAACGCAAUAUAAUACAACUUUCAGCAACGGAUCUCUUGGCUCUCGCAUCGAUGAAGAACGCAGCGAAAUGCGAUAAGUAAUGUGAAUUGCAGAAUUCAGUGAAUCAUCGAAUCUUUGAACGCACCUUGCGCCCUUUGGCUAUUCCGAAGGGCAUGCCUGUUUGAGUAUCGUGAACACCUCAACCCUCAUGGUUUACCAUGAUGAGAUUGGACUCUGGAGGUCUUGCUGGCCCUCGGUCGGCUCCUCUCAAAUGAAUUAGCUUACCAGUGCAUGGUGGCACCACAGGUGUGAUAACUAUCUGCUCUUGUGGUUGUACGCCAGGUAACCUUCAACACUGAAGGUUUGCUGGAGCUCAUAAACGUCUCUCCUUGUGAAGACAGCCUUUUGAAUGUUUGAUCUCAAAUCAGGUAGGACUACCCGCUGAACUUAAGCAUAUCAAUAAGCGGAGGAAAAGAAACUAACAAGGAUUCCCCUAGUAACUGCGAGUGAAGCG